CAAUAGCGUAUACUAAAGUUGUUGCGAUUAAAAAGCUCGUAGUUGGAUCUCAGGCAUGGGCGCACGGUCCGCCUCGCGGCGGUCAAUGUGUGUUUUGUUUCCCAUCCUACGCUUCCCGGUUAUCAGCCCAUGGUGCUCUUCACUGAGCGUUUUGGGUGGCCGGAACGUUUACUUUGAAGAAAUUAGAGUGUUCAAAGCAGGCACGUUGCCUGAAUAAUGGUGCAUGGAAUAAUGGAAUAGGACCUCGGUUCUAUUUUGCUGGUUUUCGGAACACGAGGUAAUGAUUAAGAGGGACAGACGGGGGCAUCCGUAUUGCGGUGUUAGAGGUGAAAUUCUUGGAUCAUCGCAAGACGAACAACUGCGAAAGCAUUUGCCAAGCAUGUUUUCAUUAG
rnacentral:rRNA from 1 species